AUUGAACGCUGGCGGCAGACCUAACACAUGCAAGUCGAACGGUAACAGGAAACAGCUUGCUGUUUCGCUGACGAGUGGCGGACGGGUGAGUAAUGUCUGGGAAACUGCCUGAUGGAGGGGGAUAACUACUGGAAACGGUAGCUAAUACCGCAUAACGUCGCAAGACCAAAGAGGGGGACCUUCGGGCCUCUUGCCAUCGGAUGUGCCCAGAUGGGAUUAGCUAGUAGGUGGGGUAACGGCUCACCUAGGCGACGAUCCCUAGCUGGUCUGAGAGGAUGACCAGCCACACUGGAACUGAGACACGGUCCAGACUCCUACGGGAGGCAGCAGUGGGGAAUAUUGCACAAUGGGCGCAAGCCUGAUGCAGCCAUGCCGCGUGUAUGAAGAAGGCCUUCGGGUUGUAAAGUACUUUCAGCGGGGAGGAAGGAAGUAAAGUUAAUACCUUUACUCAUUGACGUUACCCGCAGAAGAAGCACCGGCUAACUCCGUG
rnacentral:rRNA from 1 species